rnacentral:rRNA from 1 species
CCUACGGGAGGCAGCAGUGGGGAAUUUUGGACAAUGGGCGCAAGCCUGAUCCAGCAAUGCCGCGUGAGUGAAGAAGGCCUUCGGGUUGUAAAGCUCUUUUGUCAGGGAAGAAACGGUGGGGGCUAAUAUCUCCUACUAAUGACGGUACCUGAAGAAUAAGCACCGGCUAACUACGUGCCAGCAGCCGCGGUAAUACGUAGGGUGCAAGCGUUAAUCGGAAUUACUGGGCGUAAAGCGUGCGCAGGCGGUUUUGUAAGUCUGUCGUGAAAGCCCCGGGCUCAACCUGGGAAUUGCGAUGGAGACUGCAAGGCUUGAAUCUGGCAGAGGGGGGUAGAAUUCCACGUGUAGCAGUGAAAUGCGUAGAGAUGUGGAGGAACACCGAUGGCGAAGGCAGCCCCCUGGGUCAGAUUGACGCUCAUGCACGAAAGCGUGGGGAGCAAACAGGAUUAGAUACCCGUGGUAGUCCACGCCCUAAACGAUGUCUACUAGUUGUCGGGUUUUAAUUAACUUGGUAACGCAGCUAACGCGUGAAGUAGACCGCCUGGGGAGUACGGUCGCGAGAUAACUACGAAGUAGUAGUAGAGNGAGAGACGCGACGACGACGACGACGGAGGAGGAGG